GAUGAACGCUAGCGGCAGGCCUAACACAUGCAAGUCGAGGGGUAGAACACUUCGGUGUUUGAGACCGGCGCACGGGUGCGUAACGCGUAUGCAAUCUACCUUAUACAGGGGAAUAGCCCAGAGAAAUUUGGAUUAAUGCCCCAUAGCAUUACGACUUGGCAUCAAGAUGUAAUUAAAGUUCCAACGGUAUAAGAUGAGCAUGCGUUCCAUUAGUUAGUUGGUAAGGUAACGGCUUACCAAGACGAUGAUGGGUAGGGGUCCUGAGAGGGAGAUACCCCACACUGGUACUGUGACGCGGACCAGACUCCUACGGGAGGCAGCAGUGAGGAAUAUUGGUCAAUGGUCGCAAGACUGAACCAGCCAUGCCGCGUGCAGGAAGACGGUCCUAUGGAUUGUAAACUGCUUUUAUACAGGGAGAAACCCUCCCACGUGUGGGAGCUUGACGGUACUGUAGGAAUAAGGAUCGGCUAACUCCGUGCCAGCCGCCGCGGUAA
rnacentral:rRNA from 1 species